rnacentral:pre_miRNA from 1 species
UAUAAGGGAUUUUGAGUUUUUGCUUGCAUUAUUUGACCACUCGUCUUAUUUAAAAAAUUUUGGAAUUAUUAUUUUUUUUGACUUACUUUAUUAUCCAAAGUACUUUAAGCACAACUUUUCAUUUUUUAUAUUUGCACAAAUUUUUUUAAUAAGACGAGUGGUCAAACAAUACAGACAAAAACUUAAAAUCCCUUAUA